AGAAAAGUAAGCUAAAUUAAGCUAAUGGGUUCAUACCCCAUUAAUAGAGGAAACCUCUCUUCUCUA
rnacentral:tRNA from 1 species